CACACAGUAAACGAUAAUCACUAGGUGUCGGUUUCUUAUCAAUGGAUUCGGUGCCGUAGCUAACGCGUUAAGUGAUUCGCCUGGGGAGUACGAUCGCAAGGUUGAAACUCAAAGGAAUUGACGGGGGCCCGCACAAGCGGUGGAGCAUGUGGUUUAAUUCGAAGCAACGCGAAGAACCUUACCAGGCCUUGACAUCCCCUGACCGUCAUGGAAACAUGGCUUCUCUUCGGAGCAGGGAGACAGGUGG
rnacentral:rRNA from 1 species